rnacentral:lncRNA from 1 species
AGUUUAUUUAUAAACUAAACACCUUUACUUCAUAAAACUUAAAUAAAAAAAUCAAUAGGAUGUGCCCAAUGCCAUAGGUAAGAAUCCAGAUUGAAGACUUAUAAUGAGUGGUUGUUAAACUCCUCUUUCAGCACACAUCAUCGCAACCAGUUUAUAGUGGCUGGGUAAUCUCAAGGACCAAUACAGAAAGCACAUCUUCAACAG